ensembl:lncRNA
GAAACAUCCUGGCAACCGGAGAACACGGAUUUAAGGCAACUCUUUAAAGCAUUAUUGCCUGUCUGAACAGCCAGCUCCUCACUACACAGGUGACAUGAGGAUCUUCCAGCCAACUUCUAUCCCUGUCCUGGAGUGCAUGGCAGAGCUGCACAAGAUAGAGCCAAGCUGAGUUCAAUCUUUGGAGACUUAAAGUGCUCACUCAAAUGCACUGAACAAGAGGAAUGCUUCAGCUCCAAUCAGCUCCCAUCUUCUUUGGAAAUGCUGGCCUUGAGUUCUUACUUCUGGGAUGAUUUGGAGGCUCUUGAUGUCCUUGGUGGUGGGAUAAAUCUGGAGAAGCUCCACUGGAUGCAGAGCUUGGUGCUGGCUCUGAGCUCUGGUCGUGCACACCCAUGGUGUGAGCAAGGCUGGUGGUGGCACACAGGGGCACAGCAGGGUUUUCUGCACAGGAUUUAUUUUCCAGCUCUCUCUGAGCAGCUCUGCAAGGCUGGGAAAACACGCCCAAACCUGGGAAAACACACCCAAAUCUGGGAAAAAACACAUCCAGACCUAGGAAAGGGAAAUGUUUCACUCUGCUGGUGCACAGAGGGAUCCCCAGCAAGGGACAAAAACAAUUUGAUUCCAGCUUCCCAUUGAGACAUACCCUGCAUUUCUUCUAAGAGGCAAAAAUACGAUGUGGGAAAAAAUAACUUUCACUUGAUGCACUAAAAUAUUUUUAACUAUCCAAAUGAUGGAAGCUGCAUCCACGAGAAAACCAGAGAGGACUCCUAAAACACUAUGAAACCAACAGAAAAAAAAAUAAAAAAUAAAAAUCUCCAUUCCUGGAGGACGCC